AGUUGAGUGGUGCAGUUGGUAGCACUCGUGGUUUCGUUGAGGAUAGCUUCAUCAACUACUUGCCGCAGGACCCUCGUUCUAUUCGGGGCUCAGCCU